AAAACUUUCAACAACGGAUCUCUUGGUUCUGGCAUCGAUGAAGAACGUAGCGAAAUGCGAUAAGUAAUGUGAAUUGCAGAAUUCAGUGAAUCAUCGAAUCUUUGAACGCACAUUGCGCCCGCCAGUAUUCUGGCGGGCAUGCCUGUCCGAGCGUCAUUUCACCCC
rnacentral:rRNA from 2 species